rnacentral:tRNA from 1 species
GCCCGGUUAGCUCAGUCGGUAGAGCAUUUGACUUUUACUGGCCCCCGGCGACGGGGGAGGCAGUGCAUCAAAAUGUCGGGGUUCGAGCCCCCCAUUGGGCG